rnacentral:rRNA from 1 species
CAGGCCUAACACAUGCAAGUCGGACGGCAGCGGGGUAGUGCUUGCACUACUGCCGGCGAGUGGCGAACGGGUGAGUAAUAUAUUGGAACGUACCGAGUAAUGGGGGAUAACCAAUCGAAAGAUUGGCUAAUACCGCAUACGCUCUGAGGAGGAAAGCAGGGGACCUUCGGGCCUUGCGUUAUUCGAGCGGCCAAUAUCUGAUUAGCUAGUUGGUGGGGUAAAGGCCUACCAAGGCGACGAUCAGUAGCGGGUCUGAGAGGAUGAUCCGCCACACUGGGACUGAGACACGGCCCAGACUCCUACGGGAGGCAGCAGUGGGGAAUUUUGGACAAUGGGCGCAAGCCUGAUCCAGCCAUGCCGCGUGUCUGAAGAAGGCCUUCGGGUUGUAAAGGACUUUUGUUAGGGAAGAAAAAGGAGCGGUUAAUACCCGUUUCUGCUGACGGUACCUAAAGAAUAAGCACCGGCUAACUACGUGCCAGCAGCCGCGGUAAUACGUAGGGUGCGAGCGUUAAUCGGAAUUACUGGGCGUAAAGCGAGCGCAGACGGUUACUUAAGCAGGAUGUGAAAUCCCCGGGCUUAACCUGGGAACUGCGUUCUGAACUGGGUAGCUAGAGUAUGUCAGAGGGGGGUAGAAUUCCACGUGUAGCAGUGAAAUGCGUAGAGAUGUGGAGGAAUACCGAUGGCGAAGGCAGCCCCCUGGGAUAAUACUGACGUUCAUGCUCGAAAGCGUGGGUAGCAAACAGGAUUAGA